rnacentral:rRNA from 1 species
CCUACGGGGGGCAGCAGUGAGGAAUAUUGGUCAAUGGGCGCGAGCCUGAACCAGCCAAGUCGCGUGAGGGAAGACGGUCCUAUGGAUUGUAAACCUCUUUUGUCGGGGAGCAAAAGACGCCACGCGUGGCGUUCCGAGAGUACCCGAAGAAAAAGCAUCGGCUAACUCCGUGCCAGCAGCCGCGGUAAUACGGAGGAUGCGAGCGUUAUCCGGAUUUAUUGGGUUUAAAGGGUGCGCAGGCGGAAGAUCAAGUCAGCGGAAAAAUUGAGGGGCUCAACCUCUUCGAGCCGUUGAAACUGGUUUUCUUGAGUGGGCGAGAAGUAUGCGGAAUGCGUGGUGUGGCGGUGAAAUG